rnacentral:lncRNA from 1 species
UGGGUUUGAGCGUUUCUGAUCAAGAUAAAUGCUAAAAAGUGCUUCCAACGCUCUCAAUUAAUUGAGUGUUUCUUUCAUCAGCGAACACAAUUACUGGAGAUGAUACUACUGCUGGUGUGCGGUUAGUUCCUCUUGAUAUAAUCAGCUCAGAGGUCAGUAAUUUGGUAUAGCAUGAUUUAUAAUGUAUUUUUAGAAUUUUCUAAAUCUACGUUGAUAUAUGCAGAAAUUAAUAAUACACGAAGGUUCCAUCUGCCUCAUGUAAAGUUGUAGCUGUUCGUUAUUUGCUUCCUUUUGUCAAACAAUUCCUAACGUAUCUAAGUGUUUAUACAUUCCUUACUUUUAAAUGUUUGGGUUUGAGUAUAACAUUUAAGGAGAGUUUAUAAUAAGAUUACUAUUGAUAAUUUUCAUGGGGUUGAUUUGGUGUAUAUCUCACAUCUUUCUGCGCACUCCAUCGGGGAAAAUUUGACAUAGACGUUACCAACUAUAGUAUAGCUUUCCGUUCAGCCUUUGAACAUUAGAAAAUAAAGGCAACAGCAGUAUUGCUGUUCAAAAGUCAUGAAUCGAUUGGGAGAAAACAAAUCCAAAACCUAUCCCUCAGGGGCUUAGAAAUAACAAAUGCAAAACAUUUCAAACGAGAAAACUAACGGCCUUUUGUAUGUACAAAAUAAUGAACGAAAAACAAAUAU